rnacentral:piRNA from 1 species
UAGAUUGUGAAGUCUUGAGCCUCAGCUACC